rnacentral:rRNA from 1 species
CCCUACGGGGCGCACCAGCACGCGAAAUCAUCUGCACUAGACGAAAGCGCGACACAGUGACUCUGAGAGUGAUUCCCGCUAAGAGAGUAUCUUUUGGCACAUCUCUAAAAUGUGUCGGUAAAAUAAGGGGUGGCCAAGUCUGGUGUCAGCCGCCGCGGUAA